ACACAUCACUCAUGACCAAGUUUCAGGAAGGAACCUGAGGCUGCUGACUUGGAUCUCAGUGGCCUUCCUCCUCCUGCUGCUUGCACUCCUAGUGCUCUUGCAACUCCAGCAUAAGCACCACUACAGAAGGCAGUUCCUAGCUCGGCUGCCACUUCAUCAGAGGACUCCUGCAGCCAUGAGGAAGCUGACUCUGAGGUCCCCCAUGAAGUGACCUAUGCCCAGCUGAACAGCAUCAAGAUGAGAUGGGAAGCAACCACAACCCCCUCCUCCCAGGAAGAGGAGCUCCAAGCUGUGCCCAGUUUGUAUGCCCACCUCGCUGUUCUCCAGCACAGGAGAGAUCUCAGGCCACACAGCGCAAGUACUGAGACAUGAGCAUGGGUUGGAACAGACCAACCCCAUGGACAUUCAGAUUGUAAACAGCAGCUGCCUGGACCCAUGGUAUGAACAGUCAAUGACUCCUGUGAUAUUUUAAAAUAGUUUGAUUCCACAGUGAGUCAUAGCUAACAUAGCACGUCUGGGAAAUAUAAUAACCCUUUUAUUUAAAUAAUGACUGUGUAAAAGAAGAAACUCCAAACCUAGUGCAAAAUGUAUGAUAAUGAAAACUUGCACAUGAAAUUGAUGAAAUGCAAGACAUGAGGACUUUUAAAAUAACUCAAAAUCUUAAAAAUUCAGAAUGGAAAAGUGUCUCAAAAUAAGUCAGUGAUUCAAGUGCACAUCACAAGAAAGAAAGAGCAAAUGAGGUUUUGAAAGUGGUAUCAAGAAGGAAAUAAUAAUUGUAAUAUGCAGAGUAAUUCAAUUCUGCACUUCAGGCUCUGGAGCUAACCAAACUCCAGUUGAGUGGGGCUGCAAGUUUUGUGUUCCCAAGUGUUUGUGGUUUCAAGGGGAGAAGUGUUCCUGGCAUUGCAGAGGUCUCUUGGAGGGCAGAAGAGACUAAAAGCUUUUCCUGCAGAAAACAGAAAGGUCCACUGUCUGUAGCAGGGAUGCCUCAGCAGGGGCCUGGUGAGACACAAAGGCUGUGAAGUAGGGAGCCUGGCACCUGGGCUCAGGAGGGGAUGGGCCUCCCCUGUGCUCACCAGGGAAGGGACAGAGCAGUAGUCUGUCCAGCAGGGGCAGAGCAGGUCAGCAGCCCCUCAGCAUUUCCCAGUUAAUUGGGCAUCUUAACAAGAUUGUACAUGGAACUGCUUUAGAGGAUUCAUUUGGCCUUUUCACACUUAUUAUUGUGUUUGAAAACAUGAACAUGUUUCGGGUUUUGUUUAGCACUGCUGUGUCUUGAAUUCCACAUGGAUCCCAGAGAGGAUUAUAGUCCUUCCAGCCUAUAGAUCUUUGUAGAAAUGAAGCAGAGACCAAUUUUUUUUCUGCACAGGACACAGAUGUGGAGAAAGACAGAAGCCACAUGUGAGAUCAGAGCUCCCAAGAGAAUGGCAGACUCCCACCCCUGCCCACAACUCCCUGGCUGCUCUCUGAACACCCUACUUCCCCCACCACACUGCCUGCCCUGCCACUCAGCCUAAAGCUGGAGGACAACUCUGCCAGGGAAGAACAGGGCCACGUGGGGAGGAGAACUGGGCUGGGUAGGUGACAGCCAUCACAAGGAUGAGCAGAAAUGCUUCUCCUCACAGGUGUGAGAGAGCAGGUAUUCCUCUCCUGCAUGGCCUUAGCCAAUUCCUACUCUCACUGUACUAUGUGGUGUGAGAGCUAAGGUGUCCUAGAAAGACAAACCCCUUGUUCUGUUUCCCUCCCUGCUACCUGCUGUGCUACUGUGAAAGACUGGAAGGUAGUGUUUCUAUUUUAAAUGUUGGGAGGAGCUUCCAUCUCUUCCCCACCAUGGCUGUAAUUACUCACAAUCCCACCAAGAGAAUAGGGUUUCUCCUCUCCCCACAGCCUUGCCAGAAUUUUCUGCUUGACUAUUGAUCAUAGAUACUCUAAUGAUGUGAGGUGAUACCUCAGUGUGGGGUUCAUUUUCAUUACCCUGAUGAAGGGUGAGUAUCUUGUCAUGUAGCUGUGGACCAUCCAUAUGUCUUGGUUUUGUUUUUAUUUUUAAGGUUUUUUUUUUUUUUUUUUUUGGUACCAGGAAUAAAACUCAGGACCUUGUACUUCCAGGCAGGCUCUUGUGUCACUGAGCUAUUUCCCCAGUGCUUUCAGCACUUGUGUUGGUUUGAAAAAUGUCUUCAAGAAGGUUCUGCAUACUUUGAUGGUGUUUGUGCUGAGCCCGUGGGUCACUUUUGGUAGUAUGGGAGUUGUGGCAAUGUUAAUACUCCCAACUCAUCAAUCCAGAAUGUCAGUCUGCACAUUUGUAUCCUCCUGAUAAAGAUUUCUUUGAGAAGAUCUAUUCUCACACCACAGGUGCCCCACCUGGAGGAGGGAGCUGAGCCAGCUACAGGUACCUGCUAGGUCCUUGCUGAUGACCUCUCCACAGGGAGAGCACAGGGCAGCUGUGCCGCCUGCAGGUUGGAGCUGAGCUGAGCCAUGGGAACCUGCUUGGGCCUUGCCUGCAAACUUCUCUUGGCCUGGAGAGCACCAGAACUACUGCCACCACAUGGGAAGGAGCAGCCCUGCAGAGGAGGUUUGAGGCCUAUCUAGGCCAUGGAGGUGAUCUUCUUUCAGCCUGGGGAGCUUUGCCACACAAGGAGGUGGAUGGUUACACUACAUCCAAUCUCUGGGAGAGUUUGAGAUACUUGCUCUAGGUGGAUGGGGGCUUGCUCUGCCUCUGGCCACACUAGAUUGGGCUUAGCAGGAAACUUGCCAGCCUGGACCAUACCUGGUGGCCUUCUUUCCAUCACAGGAGCUUUGCUGCCAGAGAGGGGACCUGUGAAGCUUGUGGAGGAAUUAGGCCUAGCUGAGACAAGCCUGGCAACAUUCUUUUAAUCUGGGGGCAUCGCUGCCCAAGGAGCAAACUACAUUACCAGAGGAGUCUCACGAGGCAAGGACAUAGGAGAUAAUUUCCAACAAUCCCAGGGGAAGCUUUGGAACAACCCUUGAAACAUGAAAAUAUAGGAAAAACACAAAACAACAGACCAAAAUGGAAUCUCUAACAUCUAGCCCAUCCCAAGAAAGCCUAGGAGCCAUGUACAUAGAAGAAAACACAUGCCAUAUGCCUGAAACACCUAAAAUAAUAGUAACUGAAAUAAAGAAACAACUCCAGGAAGCUUUAAAGGAAUUCAGAUGAGAAAUAAUCUUCCAGGAAAAAGAAGAAAUGAUAAAAGUAAUAACUGAGAUGCUGAACACAUCUAAAUAAGACACAGUUAAAAAAUCAGAGGAACAAAACAAAAGGAUAGAAUCCCUGGAUGGACAAUAUAAGAAACAAACAGAAUACAUAAAGCAGAUUUAAAGAGAUAUACAAGAAAUCAAAACUUACAUUGAAAGUUGUCAAAACCACCUCACCGAAAGUGAAGAUAGAAUUUCAGAUCUCAAAGACAAGAAUGCAGCUAGUGAACAGGAAAGGAAUGAUCUCUUAACAAUAACAAGAAAUCAGGAAAUAACAAUUCAACACCUGCAAGAUGACACAAAGAGAAACAACAUAAGGUGAUAGGGAUAAAUGAAAAAGAAGGGGACAACAUAAAGAAUGUCAAGAGGAUAUUUAGAGAAGUAAUAGCUGAAAAUUUCCCAAACAUGAGAUUGGAAACUGAUAUCAAGAUCAGUAAAGCAUACAGAACUCCAAAUAGCCAUAACCAAAAUAAAACUACAGCCAGACAUAUAACAAUCGCCAUCCCAGAAAUCGAACAAAAGAAUAGAACAUUAAAAGCUGUCAGAGAAAAAAGACAGAUCACCUAUAAAGGAAAAACCUGUCAGAAUCACAGAAGACUUCUCAGCACAUACAAUAAAAUCAAGAAGGCAUGGAGUGAAGUAUUUCAUAACCUAAAAGAAAAUGACUUCCAACCUAGACUGAUGUACCCUGCAAAAGUGUCCUUCAAAAUGGAUGGAGAAAUGAGAUACUUCCAUGACAAAGAACAGCUGAAGAACUUCAUGAUCACCAAGCCAAACCGGCAAAGAAUACUGAAAGAGCCUAGAUGCAUUUAGGAAAAAACGACUAAGCAAAGCAGACACUUAAACAGAACUGAAAGAUAAAGAUGCAACAUCAGAAAGAUAACAUGUCAACAAUAAACCAAUAUAUAACAGUUAUAACCAUUAAUGUAAAUGGUCUCAAAUGUACCAAUCAAAAGAAACAGACUGGCAGAAUGGAUCAAGAACAAAAUCCAAUCAUAUAUUGUCCACAGGAAAACCAUUGAACCCAAAAGGAUACUCACAGACCAAAGUCAAAGGAUAGAAAACAAUACUUCAAGAAACAGGAACCCCCCCCAAAAAAACUAGGAGUAGCUAUUCUGUUUGAAAACAAUGUGAACUUCAAACCAAUAAUGAUUGGAAGGGAUAAAGAAGGUCACUACAUACUUGUGAGGGGAAAACUUCAAGAGGAAGAGAUAACUAUCUUAAAUAUAUGUGCACCAAAUUCCAAAGAACCCAGCUAUAUGAAACAAGUAUUAACAGAAAUGAAAAGCCAAAUUAGCAGCAGCACAAUUCUAACAGAAGAUUUUAACACACCAUUGACACCAGUGGACAGAUCAACCAGACAGAAAAUCAGCAAAGAAAAGAACUGAAUCACAGCUGUGAACAAAAGGAAUUGAUAAACAUAUACAGAGUAUUCCACCCAACAGCAAUAGAAUACACAUUCUUCUCAGCAGUAAAUGGGUCAUUCUCUAAAAUAGACCAUAUAUUAACUCACGGAAUGUAUUUAAAUAAAUGCAGAAGGGUUGAAACUAUCCCUUGCAUGCUAUCGGAUCUUAGUGCUAUGAAAUUAGAAAUUAAUGAUAAAAGAUAUUGGAAAAAUCCCACAAACACAUGGAAACUGAAUAACACACUCUUGAGUAAUCAGUGGGUAACAGAGGAAGUUAAAGAAGAAAUUAAACACGACCUACAAGAAAAUGAAAACACAAGUACAACUUACCGGAAUCUGUGGGAAGCAAUGAAAGCUGUCAUCAGAGGAAAAUUUAUUGCACUGAGUUCCCACAUCAGGAAAACAGAACCAAUACAAAUAAAUAACCUGAUGCUACACCUCAAAAAGCUAGAAAAAGAAGAGCAAGUCAAGCCCAAAAGAAGAGAAGAAAUUAUAAAAAUCAGAGCAGAAAUCAAAGCAAUAGAGACUAGGAAAACAGUCCAAAGAAGCAAAGAAACAAAGAGUUUGUUCUUUGAAAAAAUAAAUAAAAUUGAUAAGCCCCUAGCCAACCUUAUUUUAAAAAGGGAAGAAAAAGCUCAAAUUCAUGCAAUAAGGAAUGAAAGAGGAGAAAUCACUACAGACUCUAUAGAAAUACAGAAAAUCAUCAACACCUAUUUCAAAAACCUCUACUCUCAAAGGUUUGAUAACACAGAGGAAAUGGGCAGAUUCCUAGAAGCAUACGAAGUAGCGAUCAUGAAGAUGUAAAACUACAGAAUAACCCAAUUUCUAUUAAUGAAAUUGAAAACGUAAUUAAAUCCUUACCUACAAAAAAGAGUCCAGGCCCAGACGGAUUCACUACAGAAUUCUACAAGAAAUACAAAGAAGACCUAAUGCCAACACUCCUCAAACUCUUCAGUGAAAUUGAAAGGGAAGCAAUCCUUCCUAAAUCGUUCUUAGAAGCAAAUAUUACUCUAGUACCAAAACCUGAAAAGGACCCAAUUGAAAAAGAGGACUACAAACCAAUCUCCCUAAUGAACACAGAUGCAAAAAUUCUCAAUAAAAUAUUGGCAAAUAGGAUGCAGCAAAUCAUCAAGAAGAUCAUACACCAUGACAAAGUGGGAUUCAUCCCAGACAUGCAGGGAUGUAAAUCAAUAAAUGUAAUACACCAUAUCAAUAGAGCCAAAAGUAAGAACCAUAUGAUCAUUUCUACAGAUGCAGGAAAAGCUUUUGAUAAGGUCCACCAUUGAUUCAUGAUAAGAACCUUGCAGAAAAAUGGAAUAGAUGGUCUUUACCUCAAUAUAAUAAAGGCCGUCUAUGACAAAUCAACAGCCAUUAUCAUACUAAAUGGCCAAAAAUUAAAGGCCUUUACUUUAAAAUCAGGUACAAGAAAAGGAUAUCCCUUAUCACUGCUCCUAUUUAAUAUAGUGUUGGAAAUCCUAGCCAGAGCAAUUAGACAAGAGAGAGAAAUAAAAGGCAUAAAGACAGGAAAAAUAGAAGUUAAGCUAUCAUUAUUUGCAGAUUACAUGAUACUCUAUAUAGAAGAUCCCCAAAACUCCAUUGAAAGACUGCUAGAUAUAAUAAAUAAAUUCAGUAAUGCAGCUGGAUAUAGAAGCAAUAAUCAAAAAUCAAUAGCAUUCCUAUACACUAACAACCAAGUCACAGAGAGAGAAAUAAGAGAAGCCACACCCUUCACACUAGUAACGAAAAAAAAUGAAAUAUCUAGGAAUUACUCUCAUGAAAGAAGUGAAAGACCUGUACAUGAAAAAUUAUAAUACACUGAAAAAUGAAAUUGAAGAUGAUCUCAGAAAAUGGAAAGACAUCUCUUGCUCAUGAAUAGGAAGAAUAAAUAUUGUCAAAAUGGCCAUUCUCCCAAAACUUUUAUACAGAUUCAAUGCAAUCCUGAUAAAAAUACCAUCAAUAUACCUCACAGAACUCGAAAAACAACUCCUAAAAUUCAUCUGGAGUGAGAAGAGACCUAGAAUGGCAAGGACAGUUCUAAGCAGCAAAGGCAAGGCAGGAGGUAUCACAAUCCCUGACUUGAAGUUAUACUAAAAAGCAACCGUAGUAAAAUCAACAUGGUACUGGAACAAAAACAGAGCUGAAGAUCAGUGGAAUAGAUUAGAAGAUACAACCACAAUUACAAACAUUCAACCACCUUAUCUUCAAUAAAGGGGCCAAACAUGUUCACUGGGAGAACGACAGUCUCUUUCAUAAAUGGUGCUGGAAAAACUGGCUCUCCAUAUGCCGAAAACUAAAACUAGACCCAUGCCUAUCACCAUGUACUAAAGUAAAAUCUAAAUGGAUCAAGGAUCUAAAUAUUAAAACAGAAACACUAAAUCUAUUGGAAGAUAAAUUGGGUAAAAACCUUGAAGAUAUAGGAGUAGGUAGAGAAUUCAUGAAUAGGACUCAAAUUGCACAGCAAAUACUUCCCAGAGUCAAUAAUUAGGAUCACCUCUUAUUAAAAUGUUUCUGCACAUCAAGAGAAAUCUCCAGCAUAGUGAAAAGAAAACCCACAAACUAGGAAAAAAUUUUAGUGAACUACCCCUCAGACAAAGGACUUCUGUCUAAAACAUAUAAAGAAUAAAAAAAAUCAGACCCCCAAAAUUCAAAGACCUAAUCCCAAAAGUGGGCAUCUGAGAUAAAUAAACAAUUCUCUGAUGAAGAAAUACAAAGGGCAAAUAAAUAUAUGAAAAAAUGUUCAUCAUCAUUAGUCAUUAGAGAAAUGCAAAUUAAAAGCACACUGAGAUUUCAUCUCCCUCCUGAAAGAAUGGCCAAGAUCAACAAAACCAACAACAAUAAAUGCUGGAGAGGCUGUGGGGAAAAAGGAACUCUCCUGCCCUGUUGGUGGGAAUGUAGACUAGUCCAACCAUUGUGGAGGUCAGUCUGGUGAUUUCUCAGAAAACUGGGACUGCAAGCCCCAUUUGACACAGCUAUACCACUUCCAGGCAUAUUUCCAAAAGAACUGAAAGCAUCAUACCUCAGUGAUAUAUGUGCACCCAUGUUUAUAGCAGCACAAUUUGUAGUAGCCAGAUCUUGGAAACAACCUAAGUGUCCAUCAACUGAAGAAUGGAUAAAAAAGUUGUAGUAUUUUUAUACAAUGGAGUACUAUUCAGCUAUAAAGAAUGAUCACAUUGAGACAUUUAUAAAUAAAUGGAUGCAGCUUGAGACCAUACUUAUAAGUGAAAUAAAUCAAAAUCACAUGUAUACAUACCGAACAGUUUCCCUAGUGUAAGAAGUGGUAAGAAUACAUAAAAGUAUGUGGUAAUCAUUAUUCCCAGUCAUAUUGGUUUGAAGCCAUAUAAUGUUCUCACUCAUUAACUGCAAUGGUUUUAACCUGGGUUGUUCAAUUUUAUAUCUAUGAUAGCACAAAUAGGUAUUUUGAAGAAAACAACACAACAUUAAAGCUAGUGCUGAUUUAAUAUCAUCUUGUUUUGAAGUCCCAUCAAGCUGUGGUACAUCUGUUUCCACUGGUUUUAACAUGUUGUAUCUUACUAUAGUAUAAACAAAUCCUUUAUCAACAAAGAGAUAAUAAAGAAACCAUUGUUUUUUUUUCUAUUAGCUGGUUCUAAAUACCCUGUAAUUCUUGCAUUCUCUUGAAUGGCUUCACACUGUCUUGAUAUGCUUGAUGUUAUAGCAUACAAAGUUACACUCAAAUAAUUCAAGGAAAGAGGCACUAUGGCAACUACUAUCAUGUUAGAUUAUCUGGUGGUGAAACACAGUGAUGCUUGAAUGGUUCGGUUCUGCCCUGCGUUGUUCUGUUACAAUGUCUCUUAUCUCAAUAUCCCCCCUUUUUUGUAAUUAAUCUAUUUUCUCUCAUUUUUUUAAUUAAGGGAAAACUAAAUUAAAAAUAGCAGGACAUAUUAUAGUAACCUUCUUGGUUUUCCUAUUAACCUGAUUUGAACCCCAGUAUUUCUCUCCCCAUCUUGUUCUGUCUGAUUAUUCUAUAUUCUAUUUUGCUUGAUACUAUCAAGUUUGAGGGUAUAGGCAACCACUUUGAAGGCAAUAAGAUAUACUAUGAUUCCCAUUAUGGUUUGACUAUUAUCCUUUUUUUGAAGUCCUGCAAGGUCUUCAGCAUAGGUUUUAUUGGUCUUGUUCUGUACUGUUUUGAUCAAUUCUAUUAUACCUCAUGAUAUAGAGAACCCAAUUUAAAAAUAGCAAGUGGCACAAUGGUAACCACUUUUGAUCACCUGGUAUUCUAUUUUUGCAUCAUAUGCUAUGCCCACCCAUCUGUUCUGACUCUGUUUUGCUUAGUCACAUUUGGUUUUAUUCUCUUCAAAAAAAAAGUAAUAAGAACCAUGAGAGUAAUAAAACCCAAAAAGACUAAUUGUUAUUGUAAAAAAGAGAGGAAAGGAAGGUGGACUAAGGGAUAUAACAGCAGAUACGUUCGAGUGUACAGGAUGGAAAACUAUAUUACUGAGCUUUUGUUGGAUCAUUGAACCGAACUGUCUCCAAUUUCAUUGUACGAAUGUCCACUUUACAUGCUUUAAUUUUGUAAUUUGGACAACUGUUUCUGGGAAUAUGUAACCAAUUAACUGGUGAUUUCUUACUGUAUAUUUUUUUCCUUGAAAUACUGUAUUAUUUGUACCCUUUUACUGCUUUGUUUUUUUAUGUCCUUUUUUCUCUUUAAAUAAAAAAAGUUAC